rnacentral:rRNA from 1 species
UACAGAGGGGGCGAGCGUUGUUCGGAAUUACUGGGCGUAAAGGGCGCGUAGGCGGCCCGCUAAGUCGAACGUGAAAUCCCCAGGCUCAACCUGGGAACUGCGUCCGAUACUGGAUGGCUUGGAUUCGGGAGAGGAAUGCGGAAUUCCAGGUGUAGCGGUGAAAUGCGUAGAUAUGCCAUAGAACACCAAUUGCGAAGGCAGCUGACUAGACCUGGAUUGACGCUGAGGCACGAAAGCGUGGGGAGCGAACAGG